UACGAAGGGGGCUAGCGUUGUUCGGAAUCACUGGGCGUAAAGGGCGCGUAGGCGGCUCGACAAGUCCCGCGUGAAAGCCCCCGGCUCAACUGGGGAACUGCGCGGGAAACUGUCGGACUUGAGUUCGGGAGAGGGAAGCGGAAUUCCGGGUGUAGCGGUGAAAUGCGUAGAUAUCCGGAGGAACACCGGUGGCGAAGGCAGCCUCCUGGGCCAACACUGACGCUCAUGCACGAAAGCGUGGGGAGCAAACAGG
rnacentral:rRNA from 1 species